GACGGGGGAUGCAAGCGUUAUCCGGAAUCACUGGGCGUAAAGCGUCUGUAGGUGAUGAUGCAAGUCACUGGUGCAAAACUCUGGCUCAACCGGAGGAAAGCCAGUGAAACUGCUUGACUAGAGUGUGGGAGAGGUAGAAGGAAUUCCCUGAGUAGCGGUGAAAUGCGUAGAUACAGGGAAGAACACCGGAGGCGAAAGCGUUCUACUGGAACACAACUGACGCUGAGAGACGUAAGCUAGGGGAGCGCAUGGG
rnacentral:rRNA from 1 species